rnacentral:rRNA from 1 species
CACGUAGGGGGCGAGCGUUGUCCGGAAUCAUUGGGCGUAAAGAGCGUGUAGGCGGCCAGAUAAGUCCGCUGUGAAAUCUCGAGGCUCAACUUCGAGCUGUCGGUGGAAACUGUCUGGCUAGAGUCCGGAAGAGGAGAAUGGAAUUCCUGGUGUAGCGGUGAAAUGCGCAGAUAUCAGGAAGAACACCCGUGGCGAAGGCGGUUCUCUGGGACGGUACUGACGCUGAGACGCGAAAGCGUGGGGAGCGAACAGG